rnacentral:rRNA from 1 species
AUGAUAAAGGAAAAAGAACCUGUGACGGCCCGAGGUGUUGGUUCGAGUGGUCCUCACCCACACUGGUCUAAGGCGCCACCCGAGGGCUACGCAAAGAUACAUGUUGAUGCAGGUGUGCUAACGGGGCGAGGAGGAGCUGCGGCAGCGGUCUGCCAGGACAGACAAGGAAAUUAUCUUGGCAGUUCUUCACUAGUGAUUGGAGGAAUUGAUGAUCCAACUUCACUGGAAACUAUUGUAGGCAAAGAAGCCAUUGCAUUGACGUCAAGCAAGUUGUGGAAAACAUAA